CUUUAAAGGCUCCUAG
rnacentral:tRNA from 1 species